rnacentral:lncRNA from 1 species
AAGAACCAGUGAUUUGGAGGGUGAGGUUACAGAAGAAGGCAUGGAGGAGGAAGAAGAAAAUGAGAAUGAAGAGAAUUAUGAAAGCAAAUAUAGUGAGGAAGAGGAAGAUAAGAAGAAAGGAUCAAAGAGAGUAAAAAAGAUGGGAUCAGAUGAAGAUUGAAAAACAAAAAGGCGUCAAACCUGCACUGUGUAGGUUUUUGCCUCCAAAAUUUACAGUGAUACUCAAUGACUUUAGCCUGUUAUUUGUUCUUCCGCUGAUUUCGUAGACGUUUUGGAUUUUGAUGGUUUUGGACUUUUGUUAACUCUUUAAUUUAUGUCUUGAUCCGACUCUUCUAAGCUUUACUGUAAAAUUAUGCUUCCUGUUUCGGUUAUUUACCUGGCUUUGGAUGUGUUUUAAAGGUUUUACUGGGUACAGAGGCUGUUAUGAGAACUUAUGGUUUUGUCGCUGUUUAUCAAAUACACAAGAUCUAGAAAUAAUAUAAUUUGGUAAGGUGAACAUAACCCUUAUACAAGCAACUAUACAAUAGAGAAAAAAAUAUAACAAAAAUGAAACAGAUCCACAUUUGCGCGGUUGAAAUAUGUGAAGAAAAAAACACCUACUUUCACAUAUUAUUGAACAUCAAAAACGAAAAACAUGUUGGUGACGAGUCACGAGCAAAAAAAAAAAAUUGAUAACAAACAUAAAUCCCAAUAUAUUUAAAGAUUUAAUAACCUAUGUUAGUUAACCAUCUAAUCUAAUACUCUUUCCAUUUCAAAAAUAUAUAUGGUUUAGAACUUUUACCAGUAUUAAGAAAACAGACGAAAUUUUGAUUAUCAAUAGAUUAAUUUCUAAACUAACUAUUCUUCGUAACUUUUAAUCAAUAAAAUUUUAAUAAAAACAUUUAUAUUUUUUGAAAUUUACAAUUAACCAUUUAGUAAUGAAUUGAAAAUGUAAAAAAAAAAAAAACUGUGUAGGUUUUUGCCUCCAAAAUUUACAGUGAUACUCAAUGACUUUAGCCUGUUAUUUGUUCUUCCGCUGAUUUCGUUGACGUUUUGGAUUUUGAUGGUUUUGGACUUUUGUUAACUCUUUAAUUUAUGUCUUGAUCCGACUCUUCUAAGCUUUACUGU